rnacentral:rRNA from 1 species
UACGAAGGUCCCGAGCGUUGUUCGGAAUCACUGGGCGUAAAGGGAGCGUAGGCGGCGCGGUAAGUCAGAUGUGAAAUCCCGGGGCUCAACCCCGGAACUGCAUCCGAUACUGCCGUGCUAGAGGAUUGGAGAGGUAGCUGGAAUUCUUGGUGUAGCAGUGAAAUGCGUGGAGAUCAAGAGGAACACUCGUGGCGAAAGCGAGCUACUGGACAAUAUCUGACGCUGAGGCUCGAAGGCCAGGGGAGCAAACGGG